CCUACGGGAGGCAGCAGUGAGGAAUAUUGGUCAAUGGACGAGAGUCUGAACCAGCCAAGUAGCGUGGAGGAUGACUGCCCUAUGGGUUGUAAACUUCUUUUAUAUGGGAAUAAAAUGUUCCACGUGUGGGAUUUUGUAUGUACCAUAUAAAUAAGGAUCUGCUAACUCCGUGCGAGCCGCCGCGGUAAUACGGAGGAUCCGAGCGUUAUCCGGAUUUAUUGGGUUUAAAGGGAGCGUAGGUGGAUUGUUAAGUCAGUUGUGAAAGUUUGCGGCUCAACCGUAAAAUUGCAGUUGAAACUGGCAGUCUUGAGUACAGUAGAGGUGGGCGGAAUUCGUGGUGUAGCGGUGAAAUGCUUAGAUAUCACGAAGAACUCCGAUUGCGAAGGCAGUUCACUGGACUGCAACUGACACUGAGGCUCGAAAGUGUGGGUAUCAAACAGGAUUAGAUACCCUUGUAGUC
rnacentral:rRNA from 1 species